GCCCAUACAUAGUUCAGUGGGAGGACAUCUGCUUUGCAUGUAGAAGGUACCAAGUUCAACCCCUGGCGUCUCUCGGUAGGGCU